CCCUCUUACGUUCUAGUGGCUGAUCUGCCCUCUCUGCCUCAGAGUCCAGGAAAGGAAGAGGAAGGUCAAGCAAGCACGGAGUUCAAGACCAUGGCCAUGAACUUUCAGGAAAACGUAACCCUGGCUAUGGCUGUAUUCACCAUCCUUGCCUCCAUCUACUUCUUCAACAAGGCUCAGCAAUGAGAAGACACGGGAUGCCUAAUCCAAGAGCAUUCGGCCCUGGAUCAUGACUCUGGCCUCUGAGACCAAAUAAAUGGACUGAAUCAGCACAA